CCUCUUUCCUGGGGACACCAAGGCCAAGAUCCUGAAGACAUUUUUAUUGAUCAGCAAGCUUGAAGAUGACAUUAAGGAAACAACUCCUGUCCAUUUUCUUGUACUGCGUCCAACGUGUGGCCUCGCUCUUCUGCCUGAACCCCAAACGCAACAAGAAAAACUGCCUCUCUGGGGGAGCCAGGAAUCUGGUGUCUGUCAUCCAGCAGCUUGCCCAGAGGGUCACUCGGGGGAUGCGGACCACUCUGUGAUGCAUGUAACCCAUGCCGCUGAACAACUACUACUUCACAAAUUGGAGCAAUUUUAUUAUUUAUAUUAUCAUUUGAUGGCA